rnacentral:rRNA from 1 species
UGGCGGCGAGUGGCGAACGGGUGAGUAAUACAUCGGAACGUGUCCUGUAGAGGGGGAUAGCCCGGCGAAAGCCGGAUUAAUACCGCAUACGAUCUACGGAUGAAAGCGGGGGACCUUAGGGCCUCGCGCUAUAGGGGCGGCCGAUGUCGGAUUAGCUAGUUGGUGAGGUAAAGGCUUACCAAGGCGACGAUCCGUAGCUGGUCUGAGAGGACGACCAGCCACACUGGGACUGAGACACGGCCCAGACUCCUACGGGAGGCAGCAGUGGGGAAUUUUGGACAAUGGGGGCAACCCUGAUCCAGCAAUGCCGCGUGUGUGAAGAAGGCCUUCGGGUUGUAAAGCACUUUUGUUCGGGAAGAAAACGUUAGGGUAAAUAAUCUUAAUGGAUGACGGUACCGGAAGAAUAAGCACCGGCUAACUACGUGCCAGCAGCCGCGGUAAUACGUA